GGACGAACGCUGGCGGCGUGCUUAACACAUGCAAGUCGAACGGAAAGGCCCUGCUUUUGUGGGGUGCUCGAGUGGCGAACGGGUGAGUAACACGUGAGUAACCUGCCCUUGACUUUGGGAUAACUUCAGGAAACUGGGGCUAAUACCGGAUAGGAGCUCCUGCCGCAUGGUGGGGGUUGGAAAGUUUCGGCGGUUGGGGAUGGACUCGCGGCUUAUCAGCUUGUUGGUGGGGUAGUGGCUUACCAAGGCUUUGACGGGUAGCCGGCCUGAGAGGGUGACCGGCCACAUUGGGACUGAGAUACGGCCCAGACUCCUACGGGAGGCAGCAGUGGGGAAUAUUGCACAAUGGGCGGAAGCCUGAUGCAGCAACGCCGCGUGCGGGAUGACGGCCUUCGGGUUGUAAACCGCUUUCGCCUGUGACGAAGCGUGAGUGACGGUAAUGGGUAAAGAAGCACCGGCUAACUACGUG
rnacentral:rRNA from 1 species